GAAUACACCCAAUUUCCUCUGAUCUCGGAAGCUAAGC
rnacentral:rRNA from 1 species